rnacentral:rRNA from 1 species
UAACACGUACUCCACGAGUGGUGUCCACUAAUAUUGGGCUUAAAACGCGCGUAGCCCGCUUCAAAAGUCCCCUGUGAAAUCAACCCGCUUAACGGGUUGGCGUGCAAGGGAAACUAUGGAGCUUGAGGCCGGGAGAGGUCAGGGGAAUUCUCGGAGUAGCGGUGAAAUGCUAAGAUCCCGAGAAGACCACCGGUAGCGAAGGCGCCUGACCAGAACGGACCUGACGGUGAGGUACGAAAGCCAGGGGAGCGACUCGGAUUAGAUACCCGAUUAGUCCUGGCCGUAAACGAUGUGGACUAAGGUGCCGGCAUCGCAAGAUUCCGGCGUGCUGAAGGGAAACCGUUAAGUCCACUGCCUGGGAAGUAUGGUCGCAAGGCCG